rnacentral:rRNA from 1 species
AGAGAUAGAGGGUGCUCGAAAGAGAGCCGUAACACAGGUGCUGCAUGGCUGUCGUCAGCUCGUGUCGUGAGAUGUUGGGUUAAGUCCCGCAACGAGCGCAACCCUUGUCAUUAGUUGCUACAUUCAGUUGGGCACUCUAAUGAGACUGCCGGUGACAAGCCGGAGGAAGGUGGGGAUGACGUCAAGUCCUCAUGGCCCUUAUAGGUGGGGCUACACACGUCAUACAAUGGCUGGUACAAAGGGUUGCCAACCCGCGAGGGGGAGCCAAUCCCAUAAAGCCAGUCGUAGUCCGGAUCGUAGUCUGCAACUCGACUACGUGAAGUCGGAAUCGCUAGUAAUCGUGGAUCAGAAUGUCACGGUGAAUACGUUCCCGGGUCUU